ACAAUUCAUGCAAAAUUUGCAUUCCACUUUCUGAUUUAGCCUGGUUGGUUUUAAUAUGACUGUAUGAAUAUUUCAAAAAAAAAAUGUGCUCUGUUCCUCAUGUUGUUCUGUUCACCUCACUAUGACGGACCCUGGGUCAGCUGGUCUUGAGCUUGACCCUAGAAUUGACUCUAGGAGCAGUGACCCUGCUGCCUCCCAGAGCCAAUUAUAGGCAAGAUCAAGACCAACUGACCUUCUCCUAGGCAGCUCCUUUGGUGUGCAGAUGCUCUGACCUCACUGUUCAUGAGUGGACCUCAACUAAGGUAUCUUCCAGUUGGGUGCUGGAAGGAACCCAUUGACUCACACUAGAAUGAUGAGGAUUUGCUCAUCUGGCGUGGAGAAGGAUGAGCCCACAAAACCCUAAAAGGAAAGGAGAGGCUGGACACAGCUGUACUCAGCAGAUUCCUGAAUGCUAGGCUGGAAAGUGGUGCCUGUUGUCCAAGUGGAGUCACAUGGUUGCUAAUGUGGGCAAGUCUGAGGACACACUUCAUGAGCAGCUGGGGUCUGGAAGGCUCCUCGCUUUACCCCGGCCACAUAUACUUACUGGUUGCCUACAGCACAUAGCACCUUGCAGAGAGCACUAUUAGGAAACCAAGAUUACUGUGGCACAAUUAAUUCCUGGGUAAGGCAUGGGGUUGUGGUAGACAGAGCUCAGUCUUUAGUUUGAAUCCCAACCCUCAAUUAAUGUAAAAACAUACAUGAAAAAAGGACCCUCAUCAACAUUAGAAGGGGUAGAUUCGGAGCACUUUAGGCAGGAAAACAGGAAGGCAAGGCCAGGAAACUGGAACCCAAUGAAUACUCAGAACCAAGGAUGCAGAUGACUUAUUUAGCAAAGUGGUCACUUCUGUGACAUAGCUGGACAAAGGAUGGGUAACAGCUUGGCAGAGCCAGUUGGACCAGGGGCAAAUCUCAGUGUCUGGGGCAAAAGAUGAUGAAUUUCCCUCUGACCCAUCAUGUUUAUUCAUCUUCCACUCCCCAUUGCCACACUAGCUCUUGCUGUAUGUCCUCAGCAGGAUCUACAUUCCCUCGGCGCUGGUGGGAACCCCUUAGAGUACAUAGAGGUGUCAGUCCAGUAAGACUGCUCUACACAACAUAAGUGAGGCCCAGGGAAUAGCAGCCAGGCCCUUAUCCUGUUAUCUCUGCAGGAGUGACUACCCUACCCAGAUCCAGAGACACUGAAGGAAAUGAUAAUUCCCUGGUACCUCACUGCCUCAGGACAGAAUGAAGAAAGCCACCCUUCCUUAGGCUGCAGCUGGCCACUGCUGGGUUGGGUAAACAGGUCAUCCGCACCAAGCUAAAUCAGGACUAACACUAUGGAAGACAUGGGUGAGCCCAAGAGGAAGCAUGAACACGAUACUGGUCCUAAGUCAUGUCAACAGGUUGUGCUGGGCCAGGAUCCCCAGGGGAAAAAAAAUGGUCAACCCAACUGGAGGGUAGAAGAAAAAAAACAUAAACGUGGAUAGUCAUGUCAUCUCAAAUCCCUGACGUGCCUUCCUCAUUACUUAACAGUGUGAGCUCCUUCUCACUCUAUGACC